rnacentral:rRNA from 1 species
CCUACGGGCGGCAGCAGUAGGGAAUUUUCGUCAAUGGGCGCAAGCCUGAACGAGCAAUGCCGCGUGAACGAGGAAGGUCUUCGGAUCGUAAAGUUCUGUUGAAGGGGAAAAAGAGCGGAGAGAGGAAAUGGUCUCCGAUUGAUAUUACCCUUCGAGGAAGUCACGGCUAACUACGUGCCAGCAGCCGCGGUAAUACUUAGGUGGCGAGGGUUAUCCGGAAUGAUUGUGCGAAAAGGGUGCGUAGGCGGCCUGCUAAGUCUGGAGUGAAAGGUACCGGCUCAACCGGUACAGGCUCUGGAAACUGGCGGGCUAGAGAGCAGGAGAGGGCGGUGGAACUCCAUGUGUAGCGGUAAAAUGCGUAGAUAUAUGGAAGAACACCAGUGGCGAAGGCGGCCGCCUGGCCUGUUACUGACGCUGAGGCACGAAAGCGUGGGGAGCAAAUAGGAUUAGAUACCCUUGUAGUC